rnacentral:rRNA from 1 species
CCUACGGUGGGCAGCAGUCGAGAAUCAUUCACAAUGGGGGAAACCCUGAUGGUGCGACGCCGCGUGGGGGAAUGAAGGUCUUCGGAUUGUAAACCCCUGUCAUGUGGGAGCAAAUUAAAAAGAUAGUACCACAAGAGGAAGAGACGGCUAACUCUGUGACAGCAGCCGCGGUAAUACAGAGGUCUCAAGCGUUGUUCGGAAUAACUGGGCGUAAAGCGUGCGUAGGCUGUUUCGUAAGUCGUGUGUGAAAGGCGCGGGCUCAACCCGCGGACGGCACAUGAUACUGCGAGACUAGAGUAAUGGAGGGGGAACCGGAAUUCUCGGUGUAGCAGUGAAAUGCGUAGAUAUCGAGAGGAACACUCGUGGCGAAGGCGGGUUCCUGGACAUUAACUGACGCUGAGGCACGAAGGCCAGGGGAGCGAAAGGGAUUAGAUACCCGGGUAGUC